ACACGGUAGGCGGCGAGCUCAGUUCGCUGUUCCCUUUGGCUUGCAGGUGGCCAUCAAACGGGUGCCACGGAACCGUGUCCGGCACUGGGGCGAGCUGGAACACCGUCAUACAGCCCCCCGGAAUGGACCGACUUCGGGUGGUACCAUAGCGAGGCAGCAACCGUCUGGACCCUGGGCAUCCUGCUGCAUGAGAUGGUCUGCGGGGAGCACCCUUUCAGGAGGGGCAGGAACAUCAGCUGGGCCCAGCUCCCACUGCUACAAUGGCUCUCCCAAGACUGCCGAAUUCUGAUCAGGUGGUAUUUAUCCCUCUCCACUUAUUAUCCCCAAGCACUCCUUGGACAGGCCCUCAUUAGAAGACCUGUUCUGUGA
rnacentral:lncRNA from 1 species